UUCUGUAAGGAACCUAUAGUCUGUGCCACAAAAGAAACGAAAACGAAUCACAAUUUAUUUCACAAACACAACAUCUAUUUCAAGCAACAAACUGCAUUCAUAUUACAAGCAUAGUCAGUAUUUGACAUUAUUGUAGCUUAAAGAAAACAAUCAAUAGGUCUCAUAGCCAUUCUCAUCCACUAUCUUCACAAUUUAGUUACAAACACCGACAUUGUUGCAUUUCAACAGCAAAAUACUUAAAAAUUAUAGCACUAGCCUAGGGCUAUAUGCUAUCUCCCCUAUUAAAAUCCAAAUGGCUUUAAGUUCUAAUGGUCAAGCUAGGUGGUUAAUAUCACUUAGCAAAAAAUUCAUUCGAGGUAUCAGUUUACAAUUUUUUAUUGAUGCCCUAUUUACAUUCAUGGAUUAUGCCACCACACAGGCACUCACUAUGUCAUUGACACCUACAGGCCUCAGCUUGCAAUAUGGAAUAAAUUUUAUCAAUUGCAUAAGCAUUCAAAUCACAUUUCACAGAAGCAUGAUCAAUUAUCAUGAAGGUGAUAAUAUGGUAGGAAAAAAAUAAUUAUAUAUACUCACAAUUUGCUGCAAAGA
rnacentral:misc_RNA from 1 species